rnacentral:rRNA from 1 species
UAGGGAAUCUUCCACAAUGGACGCAAGUCUGAUGGAGCAACACCGCGUGAGUGAAGAAGGGUUUCGGCUCGUAAAGCUCUGUUGUUAAAGAAGAACACGUAUGAGAGUAACUGUUCAUACGUUGACGGUAUUUAACCAGAAAGCCACGGCUAACUACGUGCCGG